CUGCUGCCUGCCGUCUUGGAUAUGCAAAUUAAGUCGCGAAAUUUGUCUUUAAUUGGUCAAUGGGUAAAGAUGGAAAACUUAAAUGGAAAAUUAAGUUAAUAAAUCAAGAAAUUAACAUCUUAAUUAAAGAACCGGCAGGUAAUUCUCCGUAGUCUCACAAAUCCGUCAUAAAUUCGCAGAAAAUUCACUUUGUGUCGA